UCCUGGUUAGCUCAGUAGGUAAAGCGCUCUACUGGAAAUAGAAACGUCCCUGGUUCGAUACCAGGUCCAGGCG
rfam:Ixodes scapularis strain Wikel colony gcontig_1108378542468, whole genome shotgun sequence.